GCUCAACUGAGGAAUUGCUUUGGAAACUGGAUGACUUGAGUGCAGUAGAGGAAAGUGGAACUCCAUGUGUAGCGGUGAAAUGCGUAGAUAUAUGGAAGAACACCAGUGGCGAAGGCGGCUUUCUGGACUGUAACUGACGUUGAGGCUCGAAAGUGUGGGUAGCAAACAGGAUUAGAUACCCUGGUAGUCCACACCGUAAACGAUGAGUGCUAGGUGUUUGAGGGUUUCCGCCCUUAAGUGCCGCAGCUAACGCAUUAAGCACUCCGCCUGGGGAGUACGACCGCAAGGUUGAAACUCAAAGGAAUUGACGGGGACCCGCACAAGCGGUGGAGCAUGUGGUUUAAUUCGAAGCUACGCGAAGAACCUUACCAUGUCUUGACAUCCCUUGACAACUCCAGAGAUGGAGCGUUCCCUUCGGGGACAAGGUGACAGGUGGUGCAUGGUUGUCGUCAGCUCGUGUCGUGAGAUGUUGGGUUAAGUCCCGCAACGAGCGCAACCCUUAUUACUAGUUGCCAGCAUUCAGUUGGGCACUCUAGUGAGACUGCCGGUGACAAACCGGAGGAAGGUGGGGAUGACGUCAAAUCAUCAUGCCCCUUAUGACCUGGGCUACACACGUGCUACAAUGGCGUAUACAACG
rnacentral:rRNA from 1 species